GGUAGACCAAACCUUCUGACUAGGAUCCUGAAUGUUUGAGAAUGAAGGGACCAUUCUGUCUGUGUCCAGCGUUGCCUGCUUAGAUCAUCUGCCACUAUGUUGCCUGAGAUUGACUCUAAAUUGCUGAGAUUGACUCUACUUGAGCCCAAGACAUGAUCUGUGUACAGAGCCUUUGGAGAGAUUUUACCUUUGUACCACACUGGCGGUUUAGGUAAGAGACAGUGGUGAGAUUGUCUGAUUGGAUCCUCACUGAUUUUUUUUCUUAUCUCCAUUCUGAAAGCUAGAAGGGUGUUCCAUACAGCUUUCAUUUCCCUGAAGUUUGAAGACUGAGCUGCUUCUUUUA